UGCAAGUCGAGGGGCAUCAGUUUGGUUUGCUUGCAAACCAAAGCUGGCGACCGGCGCACGGGUGAGUAACACGUAUCCAACCUGCCUCAUACUCGGGGAUAGCCUUUCGAAAGAAAGAUUAAUAUCCGAUAGCAUAUAUUUCCCGCAUGGGUUUUAUAUUAAAGAAAUUCGGUAUGAGAUGGGGAUGCGUUCCAUUAGUUUGUUGGCGGGGUAACGGCCCACCAAGACUACGAUGGAUAGGGGUUCUGAGAGGAAGGUCCCCCACAUUGGAACUGAGACACGGUCCAAACUCCUACGGGAGGCAGCAGUGAGGAAUAUUGGUCAAUGGACGCGAGUCUGAACCAGCCAAGUAGCGUGAAGGAUGACUGCCCUAUGGGUUGUAAACUUCUUUUAUAUGGGAAUAAAGUGGUCCACGUGUGGAUUUUUGUAUGUACCAUAUGAAUAAGGAUCGGCUAACUCCGUGCCAGCAGCCGCGGUAAUACGGAGGAUCCGAGCGUUAUCCGGAUUUAUUGGGUUUAAAGGGAGCGUAGGCGGAUUGUUAAGUCAGUCGUGAAAGUUUGCGGCUCAACCGUAAAAUUGCAGUUGAUACUGGCAGUCUUGAGUGCAGUAGAGGUGGGUGGAAUUCGUGGUGUAGCGGUGAAAUGCUUAGAUAUCACGAAGAACUCCGAUUGCGAAGGCAGCUCACUGGAGUGUAACUGACGCUGAUGCUCGAAAGUGUGGGUAUCAAACAGGAUUAGAUACCCUGGUAGUCCACACAGUAAACGAUGAAUACUCGCUGUUUGCGAUAUACAGUAAGCGGCCAAGCGAAAGCAUUAAGUAUUCCACCUGGGGAGUACGCCGGCA
rnacentral:rRNA from 1 species